UUUGUCAGCACAUAUACUAAAAGGAUAUGUGGACUGAUACAGGGAAGAUUAGCUACAGCCCCUGCACAAGGAUGACAUGAAAAUUCAUGACAUUCCAGAUUUAA